UGAAUAUAAUAUUAAUUUUAAUAAAAAACCUGUAUUGAAAAUAAGCAAAAUAAAAAAACAAUACGGACGAUUAGUGUUACGUCACAAAUGUUAUAAAUCCUUAUCAAAUGUCCCAAUUGGAUCAAAACAAAUAUUUCGUAUUAUGUGAAAAGCAUAUACUUUUAGAAAAUUUGAACAAAAUUGUAGUUUAAACUUUCAAUUUACGCGAUUUUUCAUUAAACUAACUAUGCACAGUGCAUUAGUGCACACAAACUUUAAGCAUUUAUAAAACUAAACAAUUCUGCUUAAACAACAUGUAAAUAUAAUUAAAAUAUUAAUUUUAAGCGAUAUUAUUACACUGUAAUAGUUUUUGUUUGGAUCCAACGGAUCAUUGAUAUGAUUUGAGAACGUCAAGAACGUGUAUGACUCAAGCACUAAUCGUCCUAAAAUUUUUGAAACGGUACCUGAUCGCCUACAAUAUAUUUCAAAACGUUAUUUCAUCGCCACUGACCACUUUGUCAAUCAAAAUUAUGAACAACGUAUGACCAAACGUGAAUGGUUGUUGUAAAGUAGAGGUGAAAUAAUAAAAUGGCCUACAGCACAUUGCUCUUAUGAUACUGACAUACGCGGAUGCAGAUGGCACCUGGUCUCAUCCCAACUCACUACAAUAUCAGAGCACGAAGAGAUAUUGUGGUAUAUUCAAAGCGUCGAGACAAAUACCAACACCACUUACAUUUUACAGAGACACCCAGCAACUAGGUAUCACAGUAACAACUAUGAACAGGUUACUACAACUAUGAACUAUAUAUUUUUUGAAAUAAUUCAAACUAAUUACUCAUACAAAUAGGUCACAUUUUAGUUUAUGGUUAUAUAUAUAUUAUUACUUACCUAUUAUGAGAUAUCAAAUUUCUACAAACUAAAAUAGCCGAUUAAGUAGAAUAUUAAUUUGUACCCAAUAAACUUAUAACUUAUUAAUAAGUUCAAUUUAAUUUGUCAGAAACUCAGUGAAUAUAUAUUCAGUUUUAAAAUGUAGACUAAAUCUAUAUUUCUUUUAACAAGGUUUAACUGAUAUGUAUAUUUACUUGUUUAUAAAUAUUUUAACCAAUAAGCAAUAAAUAUUGUAAUCCUACAAAUAAGAAAACAACGAUUGAAAGUUUUUGAACUGUGUGUAACGCACCAUUGUAACAUAGUUAACAAUAUCAUAUUGGUACAUUGUUUAUAAUAGGUAUCUAUCAUCAAGCACAUCAUUUUGAAUCAAUGGAAAAUAUCGAAAUUUCAAUAUUUGAUACUACUGAGAAUUUUCAUUUGAAAUAAAUACGAAUACUUUGAAACUAGUAAUAGCAAGUACUUAAUUAAUUUGUUUUUUUUUUUAAAUAAGUAAGUAUAUUCUAAUGUUUAUUUGUACAAUUCUACAAAAUUAUAAUAAUUAUUCAUUUUUAUUGCAACAUGAACACAAUUAAAUGAGUUUGAUAUUUAAGAAUCCAACAUAGCAUAGAAUCCAUAAAAUUAAAAAUAAAUUUUCAAUUUUAUUUAUUAACACACCAGGACUAAUAAUGACCAAAGUUGUAAUUAGUUUAAAAAAUGCAAUAGGAAACACCCUUUAAAUUAUAUUAUUAAAAUAUAAUAGGUAGUUAGGGCUGUGAAUUUGUAGAAAUGUUUAUCUAUCCCUAUAAGUAUAUAGCUUAUUGUAAAACAUUAUGUUCUGAACUCAAAGUUUGAAUUAGUAUAUUAUACUAACAGUUUAUUUUUUAAAACUUUUAUCUAGCAUAACAUUUUCCUUUAUAUUUUUAAUUUUUAAAUAUAGGUAUUUUUUGACCUAAUUAUAACUUUUUCCUUGUAAUUAAGUUUUAUCAAAAAUGUUCAUCAGCUACAGUUUUUACACACAGAUUUUUGUUAACUAAUUAAAAAUAAAAUUUUUAUUUUUAUAAUUUUUACAUUUUUAAAUUGCUAAAUAUUUUUAAUUUUCUUAGUGUAUUUUUGAGAUUGGAUAUGUGUUUUUAAGAUUUUUUAGUACAUUAAAUUCACAACCCCAUUCAUAAUCACAUUUUUCUUUUAAUGUACUUAUGAUGUACCUUCCUAAUUCCUAAUAUAUGACAUGUUACAACCCAUUAUGGCUUAUAACAAAGUAUAUACUAUUAUAUUAUAUUUAUAAAUAGUUAUAACACACUGUAAGUACUGCAGCAGCUGAGCAUGUGCAAUAGUUUUGUGAACAUUCAUCUUCUCUUGUUCGCCAGUACCGUGUUUGGAGUCAAAGUAUUUAUAAUAGUAAGUUAUAGAAUGCACGUCACUUUACAGUAUUAUACACAUCGUUUUACUUAUAUGUCUUACAUGUUUCCAUUCAGUUUGAAAAUCAAGAAAAGAAUUAGUCUGGAUUUUAUAUUAUAAUAAUUAUCAUGUCGUUUACUGUCAUUAUAAGAGCCUAUAUACAAACUGUUCAUUUUUUUUAUUCACUACUCACAAUUAGAAUAUUUAUGUAAUAUAACAUAAUCUUAAACGUUUCACAAACACUAAAAUAGGUACCUACAAUAAAACAUAGACUGCAAUGUACACUGCAAAAAACGAGUGAGUUUUUAACAUCUACAGCUAUAUUAUUACUUAUUAUUUAUGUAUAAUAUAUAUUAGAACAUUACUUAAUUAUAGGUAUGUAUAUAAUUUGUAACAGUGUUUUUAUAACAUAAAAAAUUUAAUUAAAAAUAGAUAUACAAAUGGUAUUUUA